rnacentral:lncRNA from 1 species
UUUGACGUCAUUGUAAUCCAUGGACUAAAGUUAGUACCUAGGUACUAACUUUUGCGAUUCACAAAGGUGGACUAAAGUUAUACCGGGGUAUAAAACGCGUCAUUUGACGUCACGAUUUAGUCAGCUCUUUGGGGUGGACUAAAUCGGUGGAUUAAAGUUAGUCCACGGUUUUAACCAAUCAGAGAGCAGCAUUGCGGUUGCAGAAAAGUUUGCUGCAAAAAAAAGUUUUUUGGACGGAGACGAGAUUCGGUGUGAUCGGCUUAUCUAAAGCUUAAAAUUUCACGACUUCGACCGAGAUUAAACAGACCAUACUCGGCAGAUUGUGAGAUUGUGAUCAAUCAAGACGGCAAACAUGGCUCACAUUUUUGAACUGCUGUGCCUUCUUGCAACAGAGUGAGAUUCAGCAACACAUAGGAAGACCACAGCAUGGAUUAAGAGACAGGAAGAAUCCAUUUGAAUGCUACAAGGAUGAACCUUUCAGAGUGGGCUACCAACAGAGAGAAACGACACAUUGCCUGACAUGUUACAUGUUUUGACAGGACUUUGUUUUUAUGCCAUUGGUACCUUUUAGAAGAUGCAAGCAGACAAAGCAACUAUAUCAUAGUCAUCCGUGUGCAGAAUCAUCAAAGAUUUUUCUGAGGCAAUGGCAAGGAGUAACAGUUAAUGAAGUGUCCGAUGACGAGAAAUUCAAACCACCCAGCGACAGUUUGAUGAUUGCUACAGGUUUCCAAGAGUCGUAGGUGCUAUCGAUUGGGGCCAUGUCUACAUCAGGAGUCCUGAUGGGGAACAAGCCCUGUACUUAGCAGGAAGAACAGGUCUUCUGUAAAUGUAUAGGUAUCCGUUGCUCCUCUCUUUGAUGAAUUCCUGCCUGCAUUCUGUUGUCAAUAGAAAAGGACCAUGUGCUUCGGGUAUUAAGCAUUCCAUUGGAUUAUCUGUGUAUGAAAGUGGACACUUGCGAUCACAAAAUGGUAGCUUAGUUGAUAGGAUGUAUUCAUGAAUUCCGAUUUAUCAGUAGUGAUCAAAUGACCAUCUUGCUUUUAAAAACCCAAAUUCACAACAUUUUUCUUGUUUGACAAAAGGUUUGGGAUGUGAAUUCCAGGAAAUAAAUGACACACACGAUGGGCUAAUGUAUAAGCAGGGAUGUGAGAGGUAUAAGCAACAUUUUGCUCAUGCUUAACUAAGUUUGGCAUGAGAUGGUCUUGGUCAUUCUUAUGAUUCAAGUCUAUUUUUAUACCAUUU